UUCCGCAAACAUUUAAAUUUUUGUUAAACAUGUACUAGCAUGUCAUGUAUUUUACAUCAAUAUUGCAAAUUUAAUACAAACCACAGUACAAAAAAAUUUGAAAGCUUCCUAAAGGCACUGAGAAAGCAGUAGAGAAAGUUGCAUUUAUAGUGCAUAAGUUUUAAAAAUUCAACAAGUUGGUCUAGGUAUUGAAAACUUUUUUCUUCCAGUAGAAACUGCAAAAAUAUAAGUUGUAUUGAUCUCCUCCCUUCCAUCCCAUUCCCACCUUAUAUUUGACUUUAAUACUUUUUCAGCUAUAUAGGGAAAAGCUACAUACACAGAAAAACAUGAACCUGUAAUUAGUGCUAACAAUGACAUUUUAGAGAGAAGUGAUACAUCCACACUUUCUAUGUUCCAUAGUCUUCCCCACUGUUUUCCAAGAGGGUUGUGGCUAUAAAAUAACCAAAGUGCUGACUUGGGGAGUUUUUGUUGCCGUUGAGGAAGGGAUGUCGGACACCUCGCUGAUCCCAGGCUCUCAGGGCCGCAGCCUCCUGUAGGGUCCCCACACCACAAAACCGGCAGAGCCAACACCCACGUGCUGAGUGCAGCGUCAACACAGCGUGGCCUGCCUGGCAGCAACCCACCACUCAAUCUGGCACCUGUCACCAGGAGGGCCUUGGGCAGGGGCGCAUCUAAAGGUCUGGGAGGCUGCAGGGCAGGACGUGGUGAAGAAGCCUCCUGGGCAGGGGCUGCCGUCUGUGCUUAAGGAGGCCCCAGUGCUCCUUUGAUGACACUGAAGGGCCUGGCUACAAUCGCAAACACGCAGCCACGUCUCUGAUUCGAUCUUUGGGGCCUGGUGUUUUUCCCAGUGACAGCCGUUGGCUCCAGGACACUCAAGACAUGUGAUACACAAGACUCUCAGUCACUGAGCUCCCUGCCCUCCUCGGCCCCGAGACUGGAAGAGCAGCUGCCACGUUUGGGACCCAGGCGGCGCCCAGGCUGAAGGGAGCUGCUGAGGGCUAAGCUCCAGGACACAGGACGUGGCUGGCCCUCAGAACAGGGAACUCCAAGAGUGGAACAUGCAUGUUGAUUGAGACUUUUUCAGGGAUACAGCAGAUCUGAUUUUUAAUUAUUUUUUGUAGAGACACAUUCUUCCUGUGUUGCCCAGGCUGGUCUUGAACUCCUGGGCUUAAGCGAUCCUCCUACCUUGACCUCCUAAAGUGCUGGGAUUAUAGGCAUGAGCCACUGCGCCUGGCCUGCAGGCCUAAUUAUUAAGGGUCUUUCCAUGAUCAGCAAAGGAGCUGGGCACUCGGUUAGAAUAGGAAGGAAGUGGGAAGCUUCUGAAAUACCAUCCUGGUCUUAAAUCCAUAAAUGCCCAGAGGCCAGAAGUGUGCCAUGCUCAGCAUGAGAAAUGAAUAAAGAGGGGCUCUGUGCCAGUGUAGGGCCAAAGUGGGAAGUAGGCGCCAGUCCUCAGGUGCCUGGUCUUCACAGGUGCCUGCUCUCCACAGGUGACUGACCCUCAGGUGGCUGGUCACCCCAUGGCUGGCCCCUGGGUAGCUCUGUCCCCAUCGUGACUUUAGGCAUCAGAUAAGGGAGAGAUGGCAGUGGAAGGCCAUGAGCACGUCUCACACCCACGACAGCACAGCAUGGAGGUCACCUUUUGAAAGACGCCCCCUGGCUAAGCAGAGAGUGAGUGCCCCCUCGGUAGGGCUUGGGGGUCAUAGGGGGCCACGAUGGAUCUGUGACUCUGGGCUCAGAUGGUUGGCUGUUCUCUUCCAGUACUGAGAGGAGAUCCUUAUCCCUAUCCCUGCCACAUGGGGGCAAACUGUCCAAGAACCAGGCCACUGAGAGGCGCAGGCACCUGGCAUUGGGCAGAAGACCCAGUCCUGCCAACCAAACCUGGGUUUUGACAAAGUGAAGGUGCGUUUAACAAAUGGGUCCAGCAUUAAACCAGCAUCUAAGUAAGCACUGACACCUCAAAGCCACUGACAACAGAGAGGGCGUCCACACAGGAGGCAGAAUGCACAGUGCGGCGGGGUGGUGGGUCCCUAGGGGUGGUGGGUCCCUCACCCGCGGGCCAACAACAGAGAGGGCGUCCACACGGGAGGCACAAUGCACAGUGCAGCGGGGUGGUGGGUCCCUCACCCAUGGGCUCCCACAGCUCCUGCCACUCCCAGUGGAGCUGACGUCAGGGCGCCGAUGCCCUCUCCCUGAGGAUGGGGCCUUCCCACCCCCGCACAGGUGGGCCCAGCUGCAGCCACACCCCAGGGCCUCACUGCCUGGCUUCCUCUUGCUUGGGGUGACUUCUACACCCUGAUCUGAUGCCUGCACCAGCCGGGUGGGGUUCCAGGCCAGACCGUGGAAGAAGCCUGAAAUGCACCAUCAGCUGUAGGUUCUCGGGUUGGUGGAUUGGUGACCUUCACUUUCUGACUUAUGCUUUUGUAUCCAAAUUUCCUACUCUCAGAAAAUAUCGCCUUUACAACUGUUUUAAUGCUAUUAAUACUUGUCUGUCUUGUCCCUAAUUAUUCUCCUAGGAUGGCAAUGGGAACCCUCAUUUGAGUGAACUGUACAGCCAGCCAGAGAGAAACCCCCACAGGCAGCGCAGUUUCCUGUGUCUUCUCUCUACGUUGUGUGUUUCUCUGUACUUCCAAACCCGGAGUCUGUGAACUCUGUAUUACGUGAUGUACCAAGAGGCAGAUUAGGAAGAACCGUCCGCAGAGACCCACUGAGAACUCGGGAGAUGUCCAGAAGGAACAGGGGUUAUGCUGUCAAUUCCAGUCCAGGUCUGGCCUCAGACUCUGUCAUGGCGCCAUGGAGCACCUGCCGCACGGUGUGGGGCAGUGUGGGACCCACGCUGCCAGCCUCUGCUGCCUGGAACGUUCUAGAUUCCUCUAUGAGUGGGCUCACGGACCCCUUUCUCCGCGUGUUGUAUUUCUAAUUUGCCGUGUGCUGGCCUCUACAGUGCACUGUGGCGAUGGGCUGACCCUGCCUGCACAGCACAGGCUGGGAGCUGCAGGUGGCCUGGGAGGGCUGAGCUAGGUGUGUCACCCGACCGCUUCAUCCCCGACUGCGGACUUGGGAGCAUCACCCGACCGCUUCAUCCCCGACUGCGGACUUGGGAGCAUCACCCGACUGCUUCAUCCCCGACUGUGGACUUGGCAGCCAUGGGACGGGUGCUCGCUGCCUCUGGGGCAUGAAGCUGUCCAGCCAUGAUCACUUUCCUAAAGAUUUUAAUUCCUCAAAGAGAAAUGCUGUCAUGCUUGAAUAGACUUAAGGCCAGUUUUCAUUUAAGAACUGUUGGGAUAUUUUACAAAAUUCAGGAUAGGCUCCUGCGUAUGCUGCACACACACACUAGCAGACUGCGCAUGCACAGCUCUGCAAAGCGUGUGUCUUAGGACGGGCUCCGGCCUGACCAGGAGCAGGGCAGCCCAGCCACCGACGCAUCUGAGCGUAGACACACAGAUCUGAGCUUGGAUGGUGGUCACUGCGCUAUGGCAGGAAUGUGCACCCCGAAGCUUGGGUAGGCACUGGGGGACGGGCUCGGCGGGUGAGAGAUGGGCGAGUUCCUGAAAGUGCCCUGGACACACGGGCAGGGCAGGCAGGAGCCGCGGGGCAUGGGGCGCAGGGAGGGCGGGUCAUUCUUGCUGGGCUGCAGCCUCGGCCUGGCACCAUCCUCACUGUGCUUUCCCGCUGUCCAGGGCAGGGGCUUUGUGGGUCCUGGAGUCUCCCUCCGCCCUGUCACUCCAGAGGCCCUGCUCAGCAUCCUGUGCUGCUCCUCCUCCCUGUCCCUGCAGAGAAAAGACGGGGCCCAUUUGACAGCAGCUGAAGACACCAGGUCUGGCUGCCCUGGGUGGGGGUCUCUAAGGGAGGCUACGAAAUCAGGACGAUGCUAAAUCUGCCAAGGCUGCUACACCGACCCCUCACUGCGCUGUGCCUUCUAACCCCCCCAGCAGCCC
rnacentral:lncRNA from 1 species